UAGCUUGCUAUGAAGAAUAAUUAGUGGCAGACGGGUGAGUAAUGCAUAGGAAUCUACCUAGUAGUAUGGGAUAGCCACUAGAAAUGGUGGGUAAUACUGUAUAAUCCCUGCGGGGGAAAGAUUUAUCGCUAUUAGAUGAGCCUAUGUUAGAUUAGCUAGUUGGUAGGGUAAAGGCCUACCAAGGCGAUGAUCUAUAGCUGGUCUGAGAGGAUGAUCAGCCACACUGGAACUGAGAUACGGUCCAGACUCCUACGGGAGGCAGCAGUGGGGAAUAUUGGACAAUGGGCGCAAGCCUGAUCCAGCUAUGCCGCGUGAGUGAGGAAGGCCUUAGGGUUGUAAAACUCUUUCAGUAGGGAAGAUAAUGACGGUACCUACAGAAGAAGUCCCGGCAAACUCCGUGCCAGCAGCCGCGGUAAUACGGAGGGGGCAAGCGUUGUUCGGAAUUAUUGGGCGUAAAGGGCAUGUAGGCGGUUCGGUAAGUUAAAGGUGAAAUGCCAGGG
rnacentral:rRNA from 1 species